AUAACAUUUUAAGACAAAAAUUCCCAUUAUCUUUUUCAAUAUUUACACCAUCCAAAAAACAAACCCUAAAAUUUUCUUCUUCGUUCCAUCUUCUUUGCAUGCUGCUGCCUUUUCCCAUAGUCUUCCUCCUCAUCCUUUCCCAUAGCAGUUGCAUCUCCAGGUUCAAUCUUGAUCUUUUCCCAUAGCCGCUGCAUCUUCAGGUUCAAUCUCGAUCUUCUCCCGUAGUCGCUAUAUCUCCAGGUUCGUUUUCUUGAUUUUUCCAUGGAAAAUUUCAAUUUUCUGGGAAAAUAGGAUGGUUAUGAGAAAAUAAGUUAGUUUUCUUGGUUUCUCUGGUUUAACUUAUUCUGGGGAAAAAGAACAAAGUCUGAAUAUUAAGGUUUAUUAUGGUUAUGGUUUGUAAAGAUUGGAUCUGGUUCCGAGCUGUGAGAUUUAGUGGGUUCCGUUGUGAGCUUGGCUUUGAGAAUGUGGGGGAAAGUAAUUGCAAUUUUAAUCUUGUUCUUGGUUUUUUUUUUUGUUUUUUUUUAUUUUUAUCUUUGACAUGCUUAGUUUUAAGUAAAUUAAUGGAGGAUUAAUGACAAAUGUGUUUUGUUUUUGUUGGGUGGGUGUUGAAUUGCACAAAAAUGCCAGAGAUUUGUUGCUUUGAAAUUGCAAAAGAGUUAUGUUGACCACUACAUCGAGGCGGCCAUAGAUGAGAUAACCAUCUUGAAACAGAUUGCAGAGGGAGACCCAGAUGAUAAAAAAAUGCGUGGUGAAGCAUCUAGACCAUUUUAAGCAUUCUGGUUCGAAUGGGCAACAUGUUUGUAUGGUUUUUGAGUACUUGGGUGAUAAUCAGUUGACGCUUAAGUACAGUGAUUACCGAGGAGUGCCACUACAUAAGGUGGUAAAGACAAGGAUGCAUCAGAAUCAGGGUAUGCAAAAGCGUUAAAUGGGGAAAUGAGUCGGAACUAGAAGAAAAAGAUUAGAAGAAAGGCGAAGCGUGUAGUUCAAUAGUGCGUGGAUAGAGAUGAAGCUGAUGCUGAUGUAGAAACAUCCACUGCGGUAGAGGCAUCUUCUAACACAAGAUUGAAUGUGCGUUCUGUCGAAGACCAAUCUACUAGUUCUGUCAAUGCAAAUAGAUCAUCAGAUGCUGGUGGGCCAAAUGGCUAUCGUCCAGGAAGUCAGGGUAGUAAGAGAGGCAAUUGCACUACAAGGCAUAAGUUGUUGGCAUCAAUUGAUCUGAAGUGAAAAUUGGUUGAUUUUGGGAAUGCAUGUUGGACGUGCAAAUUGGUUGAUUUUGGGAAUGCAUGUUUUUACCCAUUGUGAUAGCGCUAGCAAAGAUGACACUAGAGAGGAUGAAUACGAUGAUUGAUGCUCUCUUUAGAAUUGUGACAACUCAGUAUGGCUCUACAGACACAUCAGCAAGGCAGUUAGUUUGUUGAGAUUGUAGGAAGGCUGUUAGUUUGUUGGGAUUUGUAGGGAUAUAAGGAAGUUGGUUAGUAGCUCAUGAGUGAAGCAAAGAAUACUUGUAUAAAUAACAAACAACUCCCUCUCUGUAAUUCAUUCAUUGUUCAAGGAAUACAAUCUUUAGUCAUUCA